rnacentral:lncRNA from 1 species
AAAAGUCAAGGACUUGGGGUCCAGGUUUUUAAUUUGAAAACAUGAAGAUGUUUGCACAAUAUCUACGUCAAGUUUGAAAUCAAAGUGUGAAAAGGUUUAGGACAUAAUGAGGAUGAAUGGAUGAAUAUAGAUUAUAAAACUUCUUAGAAAGUUCACCUCUUGAGAUCAUAUAGAAGAUGAUUCAAGUGUGUCCUUUGGAAUAGGCAAUGGAUAAUAAUAAUGUAAGCAAGC